UGAAGAGUUUGAUCAUGGCUCAGAUUGAACGCUGGCGGCAGGCCUAACACAUGCAAGUCGAGCGCUUCACUUCGGUGAGGAGCGGCGGACGGGUUAGUAACGCGUGGGAACAUACCCUUCUCUAAGGAAUAGCCACUGGAAACGGUGAGUAAUACCUUAUACGCCCUUCGGGGGAAAGAUUUAUCGGAGAAGGAUUGGCCCGCGUUAGAUUAGAUAGUUGGUGGGGUAAUGGCCUACC
rnacentral:rRNA from 12 species